GGGAAUAAGGAUUUCUUGGUCUUUUGGUCUUUUGUCUCUGUUUUGUCAAUCAUUUCUUUUUUUUUCUUCUUUUCUUUUCUCUUCA
rnacentral:ribozyme from 12 species